AUUGAACGCUGGCGGCGUGCCUAAUACAUGCAAGUCGAACGCAGUGGGGACGGGUGAGUAACACGUGGGUAACCUCCCAUCAGAGGGGAUAACACUUGGAAAAUAGUGCUAAACCGAUACUGAUGGAUGGUCCCGCGGUGCAUUAGCUAGUUGGUGAGGUAACGGCUCACCAAGGCCACGAUGCAUAGCCGGCCUGAGAGGGUGAUCAGCCACACUGGGACUGAGACACGGCCCAGACUCCUACGGGAGGCAGCAGUAGGGAAUCUUGUGCAAUGGACGAAAGUCUGACCGAGCAACGCCGCGUGAGUGAAGAAGGUUUUCGGAUCGUAAAACGCUUUUGUUAGAGAAGCGGUAUCUAACGAGAAAGCAACGGCUAACUACGUGCCAGCAGCCGCGGUAAUAC
rnacentral:rRNA from 1 species